GUGACCGAGCCGAGCACGAGAGUCGCCCAUGAGCUGACGCUGCUGGCAAAACUCUGCACUUUUCCAUAUAUGGAAGGUUUCGGAGCAGCCCAGCCUGGAGGUUGCAGACUGAAAUGGCCAAGCUUACAUCCGGGAAUGGCAGGACGCAUCCCACUCCUACCUUGGAGACAGAACUUCAAGCCUAGUGUGACAGAAGUUGCUGAGGUAUUAAGAAAAUGACUCUUCAUCUUGAAGCGCUGCCUUUCGAUUCACUUCGCAGAAGAGACCCUCCGCGCCUCCUGCACGCCCCCAUCAGAGUCUGUAACUGGGGUAACGUGAGUAAGACUGAAAAGCUGCUGGGCCCUGGGGUCGCCCUUCGCACACUAAAAGCUGGAGUUUUGCUGCCACCUGUCGACCAUAAUGAGGAAUAACAAAUCUCGUCGGCAAGUCGCGAAUGUCCCAGUUGGGAAAGUCCGUAGCACCCAGUCUACUCAACCUUCAUUGUUCAAGUGGUAAGAGGACGGAGAUUCUAGGUCCUAGAAGGGAUAUGUGACAUUCUCAAGAUCACUGUGACAUUCUCAAGACAGAUCUGGGGCUAUAAUACACGCCGGGCGGCAGAGCUCAGUGUUUGUUUCCCUUUACCGCUUGCUCUCCCCCACUGUGUGGGUGGUGGUGCACAGUGCCCUUUACAGAACAUCGGAAGCACGGAUGGGCCUGGAUCCAACAAACCAACAAGUCCUAUCCUCGGCCAUAUCAGAGAGAAAUCAUUCCACACCUUUCCAAAGUGCUACAGCAAGGGUGGGUUCACUGGCAGUGACAUUCAGAGAAGUUUGAGCGUUUCGGGAGAGUAAGGAAGGAGGGCCUCAGGUGUCUGACUGCACAGUUGUCUGAGAAAAAGAGGCUAAGAACCAUGUCUCGUGCAUGAAUGAUCCUGAUCACAGGUUGGCACUCGUCAGAGAAUCCAUGCUUGGGUCUACAAGGCAAAGAGCUGGAAUGAGAGUCAAGAAAAACCGUAAGGAACUCUCAACACAUUGGUGGGACUAGAGGUACUGACUCUCUCUGAGAGUCGAAGCAGCUCCUCUGGGAUCUGGGCUGUUUCCCAGGCACUAGCAUCCUCCUAGGAGGAGAAAGCUCUAGCUUCUAGGGUUUAGUGGGAGCCUGGGCUUUGGAAAGUCAGCCCUAGGACAGAAGCCUAUUGGCACCUGGCUGGGUACAUUUGUAAAUACCAGUGAUGACACCUGGAAUUAGUUAAGAGGAGACUCUGAAAGGGGUCCGGAGUCCUUUCUACUACUGUGAUGGUGACAGAGCUAGAGGGAGGCUGUUCGGUUUCCAUGACUCUAAGCACCAGGAUUAGGCCACAGCUCAGCGCCUGUUAAUGUCACCGGUACAAACAUAGCUCUCUCUUGGUAUCUUCAGAAGACUGGAUCCAGGCUCCCCACCACUAUCCAAGACCAGGGAAGCAAAAAUUCUGCCAGCGUUCAGUCCCUUCCCCAAAGUGACGGGGCGCUUGCAUAUAAUCUGUGCGUGUACUCUCAUGCGUGCUCAUUAUCGCUAAACCUGAUGUCACAGCUGACACCAUUUGAAAGCCACGUAAAUGCAUGUUCUACUGAAUGGCCAGGGCCUAAUGACAAGAGUAAACCUGGACACGUUCAGUUCAGAUACAAUCGUUUGGGCAAAACGUUCCAAUCCACAUUAGUAGAGUCCGCUAAUGUAGGAUCUGCCUCUACAAAGCACCCAGUGUACAAGGUCCAAAAAUGUGCAGAACUUUAAAAAAAGACUCAGGAGGCCAAGUGAAUCUGUGAGUUCGAGG
rnacentral:sRNA from 1 species